AACGAACGCUGGCGGCGUGCCUAACACAUGCAAGUCGAACGAGAAAGGGAUUUCGGUCCUGAGUAAAGUGGCGCACGGGUGAGUAACACGUAGGUAACCUGCCUCCAAGAUUGGGAUAACCUGUCGAAAGACGGGCUAAUACCGAAUAAGACCACAGCUCCUUCGGGAGCAGGGGUCAAAGGUAGCCUCCACUUGUAAGCUAUCACUUGGAGAUGGGCCUGCGCACCAUUAGCUAGUUGGUGGGGUAACGGCCUACCAAGGCAAAGAUGGUUAGCUGGUCUGAGAGGAUGAUCAGCCACACUGGAACUGAGACACGGUCCAGACUCCUACGGGAGGCAGCAGUGGGGAAUAUUGCGCAAUGGGCGAAAGCCUGACGCAGCAAUGCCGCGUGAGUGAUGAAGGCCUUCGGGUCGUAAAGCUCUGUCGGAGGGAACGAAUGCUCUCGAGGUUAAUAGCCUCGGGAAGUGACGGUACCUUCAAAGGAAGCACCGGCUAACUCUGUGCCAGCAGCCGCAGUAACAC
rnacentral:rRNA from 1 species